GCCCGCGGCGGCAGCGCCUCGGGUCUCGCCUCAGGAGGGGGAUCGCCCCUCAGGGCAGGGGUGAUCGCGGUGGACGUUUCUGGAAGGCGGCAGGACGGGCGGUUGGGCAGCGCGUGUCCCCUCACCCUAUCGCAUUUGAAAUCAAAGAGGCAAUGGGGCCGAGGCAGUGGGGUUAGUGAGCGGUCUCUGGGGUGGGACCGCAAAGGCUCGGGUGCUGUUCUGGGCUGGAAGGGAGGCCUAACCCAGGGCAGGAAACCCGCUCAUUGGUGAGCAGUCCCAGCUGCGGACUGCGCGAUGGUUCCAUGCAGAGAUGCGGACCCACUCGCUUUCCUCGCACCGCUCGGUUACCUCGCAGGCUUGCCAAGAGGCUGCAGUUUUCCAAAGAAGACUGGCUGCCAAGGGAAACUGACUUUGCUGCGAGGCUGACUUUGAGAGGUCUUGAGCUGUCCCUCACCCGGCAUCUUGCCAGAGGUUUCCACUCUGCAGGGUGUGCGGAAAGUGGCCCUCAUGCUACUCUUCUGUGAUCGAGUAUGAGAAAGCCAUUGGUGAGGGAAAGCUGCCCCCAGACUCCAGGGCAUGAUUUUUGCAAGGUGCUUUGAUUUUUUUUUCAUAUCUCAACUGGAUUAGGCCUUGAGCAACCUGACCUGAAGUUGGUCCUUGAGCUGAAGCUUGUAGCUGGUAACCUCG